rnacentral:rRNA from 1 species
AUUUAAGUCUAACCUGCCCAAGAAUUAUUCAAUGGCCGCAGUAUUUUAACUGUGCGAAGGUAGCAUAAUAAUUAGUUUUUUAAUUGAGAACUGGUAUGAAUGGUUGGACGAGAAAAUAACUGUCUCAAUUUAAUUUUAAUUAGAAUUUUAUUUUUAAGUUAAAAAGCUUAAAUUUUUUUAAAAGACGAGAAGACCCUAUAGAGUUUYAUAUUAAAUUUAUGCUUUAUAUAUAAAGUAUUUUUUAUAUUUUAUAUAAAUUUAGUAUUUUAUUGGGGUGAUAUAAAAAUUAAAAAAACUUUUUAUUUUUUUUUACAUUGAUAUAUGAUUUUAUGAUCCAUUUUUUAUGAUUAAAAGAUUAAAUUACCUUAGGGAUAACAGCGUAAUUUUUUUUUAGAGUUCUUAUCGAAAAAAAAGUUUGCGACCUCGAUGUUGGAUUAAAAUAAACUUUUGGCGCAGUAGCUAUAUAGGUUGGGUCUGUUCGACCUUUAAAAUUUUACAUGAUCUGAGUUUAAACCGGUGUAAGCCAGGUUGGUUUCUAUCUUUAAAUAAUUAAGAUAUUUUAGUACGAGAGGACCAAAUAUUUAUAAAUUUUGUUUUAUUUAUUGAAUAAUAUUAAUUAUUAGG